CAGUAUGCCCAUAACUCAUUUGUUUUAGAGAAACCAAAUUUCAGCACAUGCACAAUUCAGGGGUCUACCUUCCUCAAGCCAAUCCAUAAAGGCCCCCCAAGGUAAACUUGUUUGCAUCCAGAGCUUUUCUGUCAGGUUUCAAAAUUUUCCUUCACCUCCCAAUAUUUAUUCUGGCUGUUUUAGAUUUCAGCUAAUCCAUUUCCUUGUGUCUUUAUCCAUGGGCAUGUAACUCCAGGUUACAGUGACCAAGUCGAUAAAGCCAUUUUUGAACUUCCAAUUAUUGUUUUACUAGAAAAUCUUUGAUUUUGGGACAGUUGUCGAAGCUUCAAUUUUCAAAGGAGACAAUGAUCGGUAUGGGAGGAUCUCGAAUAUUGGAUUAAGUGAAGUCUUGAAUCUGCAAGUCUCUAAUUGCAUAAUUUAGCUGGCUUGUUUCAAACAAUGCAGCUGUCCUCACCUGAUCGGAAUGUGCUAAAAUCACCAGCGGCAAUCCAAGGACCAUCAAUAAAUGGUUGUAUAUGUCUGAUUUUAUGAAAGAAUUCAUCAUGUUCUGCAUCCACUGUUGGCACAUAAACAUUAGUUGCCCAGAGAUGGAAAUCUGAAUUAUCAGAUUCCAAGUGAACCGUGAGUGAUCUUUUAUUGGCUAAUUGUAUUGCAGCAUUUAAAAUUUCUUGAGUUCA